rnacentral:misc_RNA from 1 species
UACCCUUGACAUGGAUGGAAUCCUGGAGAGAUCUGGGAGUGCCCGAAAGGGAACCAUUACACAGGUGCUGCAUGGCUGUCGUCAGCUCGUGUCGUGAGAUGUUGGGUUAAGUCCCGCAACGAGCGCAACCCUUGUCAUUAGUUGCUACGAAAGAGCACUCUAAUGAGACUGCCGGUGACAAACCGGAGGAAGGUGGGGAUGACGUAGUCUACG